rnacentral:miRNA from 15 species
ACAUGGACAAUAUGCUUCAAUUU